rnacentral:hammerhead_ribozyme from 1 species
ACAUUGCUGAAGAGUCCCAUACUAGAACGAAACGUCCGUCCAAUAC